AUUGAACGCUGGCGGAAUGCUUUACACAUGCAAGUCGAACGGCAGCACGGGUGCUUGCACCUGGUGGCGAGUGGCGAACGGGUGAGUAAUAUAUCGGAACGUAUCCAAUAAUGGGGGAUAACUAGCCGAAAGGUUAGCUAAUACCGCAUACGCCCUGAGGGGGAAAGCUGGGGAUCGUAAGACCUAGCGUUGAUGGGGCGGCCGAUAUCUGAUUAGCUAGUUGGUGGGGUAAGAGCCUACCAAGGCGACGAUCAGUAGGUGGUCUGAGAGGACGAACAGCCACACUGGAACUGAGACAGGGUCCAGACGCCUACGGGAGGCAGCAGUGGGGAAGUUUGGACAAUGGGGGCAACCCUGAUCCAGCCAUUCCGCGUGAGUGAAGAAGGCCUUCGGGUUGUAAAGCUCUUUCGCAAGGGAAGAAAACUCGAUCUCUAAUAUAGGUUGAGGCUGACGGUACCUUGAUAAGAAGCACCGGCUAACUACGUGCCAGCCGCCGCAGUAA
rnacentral:rRNA from 1 species